rnacentral:rRNA from 1 species
GUGGGGAAUUUUGCGCAAUGGGCGAAAGCCUGACGCAGCAACGCCGCGUGUGUGAUGAAGGUUUUCGGAUCGUAAAGCACUUUCGACCGGGAAGAAACCGGAUUGCCUAACAUGCAAUCCAUUGACGGUACCGGGAGAAGAAGCACCGGCUAACUCUGUGCCAGCAGCCGCGGUAAUACAGAGGGUGCAAGCGUUGUUCGGAAUUAUUGGGCGUAAAGCGCGUGUAGGCGGCUUUGCAAGUCGGGUGUGAAAGCCCUCGGCUCAACCGAGGAAGUGCGCCCGAAACUGCAGAGCUUGAGUACCGGAGAGGAUGGUGGAAUUCCCCAAGUAGAGGUGAAAUUCGUAGAUAUGGGGAGGAACACCGGUGGCGAAGGCGACCAUCUGGACGGAUACUGACGCUGAGACGCGAAAGCGUGGGGAGCAAACAGG